UGAACGCUAGCGACAGGCUUAACACAUGCAAGUCGAGGGGCAGCACAGGUAGCAAUACCGGGUGGCGACCGGCGCACGGGUGAGUAACGCGUAUGCAACUUGCCUAUCAGAGGGGGAUAACCCGGCGAAAGUCGGACUAAUACCGCAUGAAGCAGGGAUCCCGCAUGGGAAUAUUUGCUAAAGAUUCAUCGCUGAUAGAUAGGCAUGCGUUCCAUUAGGCAGUUGGCGGGGUAACGGCCCACCAAACCGACGAUGGAUAGGGGUUCUGAGAGGAAGGUCCCCCACAUUGGUACUGAGACACGGACCAAACUCCUACGGGAGGCAGCAGUGAGGAAUAUUGGUCAAUGGCCGAGAGGCUGAACCAGCCAAGUCGCGUGAGGGAUGAAGGUUCUAUGGAUCGUAAACCUCUUUUAUAAGGGAAUAAAGUGCGGGACGUGUCCCGUUUUGUAUGUACCUUAUGAAUAAGGAUCGGCUAACUCCGUGCCAGCAGCCGCGGUAAUACGGAGGAUCCGAGCGUUAUCCGGAUUUAUUGGGUUUAAAGGGUGCGUAGGCGGCCUUUUAAGUCAGCGGUGAAAGUCUGUGGCUCAACCAUAGAAUUGCCGUUGAAACUGGGGGGCUUGAGUAUGUUUGAGGCAGGCGGAAUGCGUGGUGUAGCGGUGAAAUGCAUAGAUAUCACGCAGAACCCCGAUUGCGAAGGCAGCCUGCCAAGCCAUUACUGACGCUGAUGCACGAAAGCGUGGGGAUCAAACAGGAUUAGAUACCCUGGUAGUCCACGCAGUAAACGAUGAUCACUAGCUGUUUGCGAUACACUGUAAGCGGCACAGCGAAAGCGUUAAGUGAUCCACCUGGGGAGUACGCCGGCAACGGUGAAACUCAAAGGAAUUGACGGGGGCCCGCACAAGCGGAGGAACAUGUGGUUUAAUUCGAUGAUACGCGAGGAACCUUACCCGGGUUUGAACGCAUUCGGACCGAGGUGGAAACACCUUUUCUAGCAAUAGCCGUUUGCGAGGUGCUGCAUGGUUGUCGUCAGCUCGUGCCGUGAGGUGUCGGCUUAAGUGCCAUAACGAGCGCAACCCUUGCCACUAGUUACUAACAGGUAAAGCUGAGGACUCUGGUGGGACUGCCAGCGUAAGCUGCGAGGAAGGCGGGGAUGACGUCAAAUCAGCACGGCCCUUACAUCCGGGGCGACACACGUGUUACAAUGGCGUGGACAAAGGGAGGCCACCUGGCGACAGGGAGCGAAUCCCCAAACCACGUCUCAGUUCGGAUCGGAGUCUGCAACCCGACUCCGUGAAGCUGGAUUCGCUAGUAAUCGCGCAUCAGCCAUGGCGCGGUGAAUACGUUCCCGGGCCUUGUACACACCGCCCGUCAAGCCAUGGGAGCCGGGGGUACCUGAAGUCCGUAACCGAAAGGAUCGGCCUAGGGUAAAACUGGUGACUGGGGCUAAGU
rnacentral:rRNA from 1 species